rnacentral:lncRNA from 1 species
AGUGGCUGUUACCCAGGCAAUGUCCACACCAGGCCUCUGUGCAGGUCUCAGGACACAAUGCGGAGCACACAGGUGUGGACUGGAGAUCUCUGACUCUGCCGUCCAAGCCAAGACCACCAAACUCCCACCUGUCACCAUCACUUUCCCACAGCCCCCAGGCCCUCUCAGCCACCAACCCACGACUGGCCCCAGUGCUGGCUCAGCUGGGGUCGUGAGCAGGGGAAGC